GACGAACGCUGGCGGUGUGCUUCACACAUGCAAGUCGAACGAGGUAGCAAUACCUAGUGGCGGACGGGUGAGUAACGCGUGGGAAUCUGCCUUUAGAUGGGGGAUAACGGGUCGAAAGACUCGCUAAUACCGCAUAUGACGAAAGUUGAAAGGAGUAAUCCGUCUAAAGAUGAGCCCGCGUCCGAUUAGCUAGUUGGUAGAGUAAAAGCCUACCAAGGCGACGAUCGGUAGCUGGUCUGAGAGGAUGAUCAGCCACAAUGGGAACUAGAGACACGGCCCAUACUCCUACGGGAGGCAGCAGUGGGAAUUUUACGCAAUGGGCGAAAGCCUGACGUAGCGACACCGCGUGAGCGAAGAAGGCCCCCUUGGGGGUGUAAAAGCUCUGUCAAGCUGGAACGAAAAAAAUGACGGUACCAGCAGAGAAGCAUCGGCUAACU
rnacentral:rRNA from 1 species